UACAAAAUUGAAAUUAAAGUCUAACUUUUAAUAUUCAUUGUUGAAAGAAGGAAUCGUUGAAUAUCUAGUGUCUAUGGAUGGAAAUUCCAAAUUCUCGCUUUCCAACAUUUUAUAAAGAAGAAUCCGCUUCGCUAAUGGUGCCAAACGGGUGUGAAUACUAUCAAAUAUCUAGCAUCAAUCCCAUGUAAGCUGCGUGUUUUUGUCAGUUUUACUGGAACCCUAAACACAUUAAAUGAAAGGUUAAAAAUAUUGACAUCUUAAUUCAAUGUCGCUCGAUGAAUCAUCGAACUACUCAAUACCCGGAAGCAAGCUCUUCGAUGGCUCCUGCAUAGCUCUUCAAUAGCUAACCGAUCGCUUCUAACUUCAUGUUAAUAGCUCCCGAAUCAUUGUUGGUCCUCCCCGAAAUUGUUGUAAACGACUUUGACUUUGCUCUAAAUAUACUAAAAACAAUAUGCGGUAAGUUUCUGCGGAUCUGAAACCUUUUCUUACUAGAAUGAUGAUUCCCCUAAAUUGCAUUUCCAUAUCUACAACAUAAUAAAAGCAAAUGUUGAGCCUAA